rnacentral:rRNA from 1 species
AUAAGAGGUCCAGCCUGCCCAGUGACCUAGUUCAACGGCCGCGGUAUCCUAACCGUGCGAAGGUAGCGUAAUCACUUGUUCUUUAAAUGAGGACUAGUAUGAAUGGCACCACGAGGGUUAAACUGUCUCCUUUUUUUAAUCAGUGAAACUAAUCUCCCCGUGAAGAAGCGGGGAUUCUUUUAUAAGACGAGAAGACCCUAUGGAGCUUUAAACAAGUUAACACCUGCUACUAAUCUUCACUUUCCUGAACCACCACAUUAAGUAUAGCACCUCUGAUUAACAGUUUUCGAUUGGGGUGAUCAUGGAGCAAAAAUCAACCUCCACGACGAAAAGGAACACCUCCUUGAGCCAAAAGCUACAACUUUAAGCACUAAAAAACUAACGCACUUUGACCCAAUUCUUUGAGCAACGAACCAAGUUACCCUAGGGAUAACAGCGCAAUCCACUUUAAGAGCUCCUAUCGACAAGUGGGUUUACGACCUCGAUGUUGGAUCAGGGUAUCCCAGUGGUGCAGCCGCUACUAAAGGUUCGUUUGUUCAACGAUUAAACCCUACGUGA